AUUGAACGCUGGCGGCAUGCUUUACACAUGCAAGUCGAGCGGCAGCGCGGGGGCAACCCUGGCGGCGAGCGGCGAACGGGUGAGUAAUGCAUCGGAACGUAUCCUCGAGUGGGGGAUAACCCAGCGAAAGUUGGGCUAAUACCGCAUGAGCUCUGAGGAGGAAAGCGGGGGACCUGCGAGGGCCUCGCGCUGGAGGAGCGGCCGAUGUCCGAUCAGCUAGUUGGUGGGGUAAAGGCUUACCAAGGCGACGACCGGUAGCUGGUCUGAGAGGAUGAUCAGCCACACUGGGACUGGGACACGGCCCAGACUCCUACGGGAGGCAGCAGUGGGGAAUUUUGGACAAUGGGGGCAACCAUGAUCCAGCCAUGCCGCGUGAGUGAAGAAGGCCUUCGGGUUGUAAAGCUCUUUCGGACGGAACGAAAUGGGCGGGACUAAUACUCCGGUCUGAUGACGGUACCGGAAGAAGAAGCACCGGCUAACUACGUG
rnacentral:rRNA from 1 species